AAGAAAAUUCCACUCCCGUCCAGUAGAUGGCGGUAGCAACUUUGCUCGACCUAAAGAAGAACUGAUUCCUGAAACGCAUGGUGACCAUGAUCACUUGUGAUCGUUUUUAUAUUUUCAGUCGAAUACAGUGAAUAUUUUCUACUUUAUUUUUCGUGUUUUAGCGCCAACAUCAAUUCUUUUUCAUCAUGGUUCGAGCAAAACGUAAUAUAAAAGUGCCGAAGUCCAGGAAGACCGAACAGUAUGAUGAAGAUGACCCCCGAGCAUACAGUGAUAUGCCAGUCCCUGAUAAGACUUCAUCCCAGUUCACAAAAGACAAGAUCGACGAGUUUCAUGAUGAGAAGAUCGCCGUAAGUUCUCCUCAUUUUGGUACCAAGAAGUGAAAAAACACAAGAGAUCUGCAACCCUCAACACUUAAAGACCGUUCAGGGCGAUUUCUCACCGUCAUCAGCCGAGUAGGAGCCACAAAGUGUUCUUUUAUCUUUCAGGAAAAAUAAGACACUUAUUUCUUUUUAUGUUGUUGUUACUCAUAUGAUAAAAAAUAAAGAACUAUUGAUUUUUUUUUUAGCAUAAAUAAAACAUAAACAAAGAGUGUAAUCUUUUUUUUUCUAAAUAUAAAAUAGUUUACAGCUUUUGUCACAGAUUGAUAUGAAUUCCUUUCAAAAUAAAAGACUCCCUAUAUCAUGUAGGAUCAUCUCAAUGCAGCAAAUGCAGG
rnacentral:lncRNA from 1 species